GAUGAACGCUGGCGGCGUGCCUAAUACAUGCAAGUCGAGCGAACGGACGAUAAGCUUUCUUCUCUGAUGUUAGCGUCUGACGUGUUAUUAACACGUGUAUAACCUACCUAUAUUACUUGUAUAACUUCGGGAAACCUUAUCUAAUACCGGUUAAUAUUUUGAACCGCUUGGUUCAUAAGUGAAUGACGUUCUUUCUGUCUCUUAUAGAUUGUUCCGCGCUGCAUUAUCUAGUUGGUAAGUUAACGGCUUACCAAGUCAACGAUGCAUAGCCGACCUGAGAGGGUGAUCGGCCACACUGGAACUGAGACACGGUCAAGAAACCUACGGGAGGCAGCAGUAGGGAAUAUUCCGCAAUGGGCGAAAGCAUGACGGAGCAACGCCGAGUGAGUGAUGAAGGUCUUCGGAUCGUAAAACUCUGUUAUUAGGGAAGAACAGAUGUGUAAGUAACUGUGAACAUAUUGACGGUAACUAAUAAGAAAGCCACGGCUAACUACGUG
rnacentral:rRNA from 1 species